rnacentral:lncRNA from 1 species
CCCUUGGAGGGUGUAUCUAGCAAUCCUACUCCUCCAAGGUCACACAUUUCUACUUAAAUCUAACCUUGGUGUGGAGACUUAGAGGUUCUCAAUUUUGGGAACUUGGAGAAACCUAUUCUUCCAUCCAAAUCCAUAGAUCUAAGAAGCAAGGAAUGAAGGCCCUCUCCUUGGGUGAUUAGCCUUUGCUUAUGCAAAGAGGAAUCUACAAAGGUAUAUAAAUUUCUCAACUCACUUUGAUUUGAGUUGAGUCUUGGUUCACCAAUCUACUAGGCUUUGA